rnacentral:rRNA from 1 species
UACGUAGGGUCCGAGCGUUGUCCGGAAUUAUUGGGCGUAAAGAGCUCGUAGGCGGUUUGUCGCGUCUGCUGUGAAAACCCGAGGCUCAACCUCGGGCCUGCAGUGGGUACGGGCAGACUAGAGUGCGGUAGGGGAGAUUGGAAUUCCUGGUGUAGCGGUGGAAUGCGCAGAUAUCAGGAGGAACACCGAUGGCGAAGGCAGAUCUCUGGGCCGUAACUGACGCUGAGGAGCGAAAGCAUGGGGAGCGAACAGG